GGCCAGGUGGCGGAGUGGUUAACGCGGUAGACUAGAAUUUCUAGAUCAUCUACUUCCUUCGGGAGCGUCUGUUCGAAUCAGGCCCUGGUCG
rfam:Fungal sp. No.14919 DNA, contig: Contig0023.